rnacentral:rRNA from 1 species
GACGAACGCUGGCGGCGUGCUUAACACAUGCAAGUCGAACGGAAAGGCUCCAGCUUGCUGGAGUGCUCGAGUGGCGAACGGGUGAGUAACACGUGGGCAAUCUGCCCUGCACUCUGGGAUAAGCCUGGGAAACUGGGUCUAAUACCGGAUAGGACCUUUCUCCUCAUGGGGUUUGGUGGAAAGUUUUUCGGUGCAGGAUGAGCCCGCGGCCUAUCAGCUUGUUGGUGGGGUAAUGGCCUACCAAGGCGACGACGGGUAGCCGGCCUGAGAGGGUGAUCGGCCACAUUGGGACUGAGAUACGGCCCAGACUCCUACGGGAGGCAGCAGUGGGGAAUAUUGCACAAUGGGCGAAAGCCUGACGCAGCGACGCCGCGUGAGGGAUGACGGCCUUCGGGUUGUAAACCUCUUUCAGUAGGGACGAAGCGCAAGUGACGGUACCUGCAGAAGAAGCACCGGCUAACUACGUG